CCUACGGGUGGCUGCAGUGGGGAAUAUUGGACAAUGGGGGCAACCCUGAUCCAGCCAUGCCGCGUGUGUGAAGAAGGCCCUCGGGUUGUAAAGCACUUUCAGUGAGGAAGAACGCCUGGUGGUUAAUACCCAUCAGGAAAGACAUCACUCACAGAAGAAGCACCGGCUAACUCCGUGCCAGCAGCCGCGGUAAUACGGAGGGUGCGAGCGUUAAUCGGAAUUACUGGGCGUAAAGCGCGCGUAGGUGGCUUGAUAAGCCGGUUGUGAAAGCCCCGGGCUCAACCUGGGAACGGCAUCCGGAACUGUCAAGCUAGAGUGCAGGAGAGGAAGGUAGAAUUCCCGGUGUAGCGGUGAAAUGCGUAGAGAUCGGGAGGAAUACCAGUGGCGAAGGCGGCCUUCUGGACUGACACUGACACUGAGGUGCGAAAGCGUGGGUAGCAAACAGGAUUUAGAUACCCCAGUAGUC
rnacentral:rRNA from 1 species